rnacentral:rRNA from 1 species
GACGGAAGGUGCAAGCGUUGCUCGGAAUCACUGGGCGUAAAGGGUGCGUAGGCGGUUCGUUAAGUCUGUCGUGAAAUCCCCGGGCUCAACCUGGGAAUGGCGAUGGAUACUGGCGAGCUAGAGUGUGUCAGAGGAUGGUGGAAUUCCCGGUGUAGCGGUGAAAUGCGUAGAGAUCGGGAGGAACAUCAGUGGCGAAGGCGGCCAUCUGGGACAACACUGACGCUGAAGCACGAAAGCGUGGGGAGCAAACAGG